rnacentral:lncRNA from 1 species
CAUAAGAAAUCAAGUAUACAUAAGCCCAUUCAUAGGAUAAUAGUUCUGAAACAUCUUAAACACACAACCCCUUAAAGGAAACUAGUUUAGCGAUUUUGACUGGACACUUUGUUAUUUUUAUUAGACAUUAAGGUAUUUAUUUCUUAGCUUUCCUACCUAACAAUUGGCUUUAAAAUAUUAUCUAAAUUUCUUCCUAAUUACUUUUUUGAAGCCUUACUUUUACUUAGAUCAUUUUACCCCUAGUUAUAUUUUACCAUUUUAAUUCUUUUGUCAGCAUAUCUUUCCCCUAAUUUAUCCAUAAUUCACGAAACUCAUUUCGUAAGGCCUUUUGUUUACUUAAGCCCCUUUUUUAAUUUUUUUUAUGUUCAUGUUGUUUUUCUCAAUCUUAAAUAUUUUUGUCAUUUUUCCAAAUCUCCUCUUGUUAAAAAAUUUUAUUUGAAUUUUACAUGUCAAUCUCUUAAUUUGAUUUCUCAUUUUAAAUUAUAAUUUUUAAAUUUUCUUUUCAAAUUUCUCAUUUUGCCCACAAUAGUGGGAUUUCCCCUCGAACCCAUACACCCGACACACAAGUGCAAAAACUCAUGAGGAGCCUCUUGGUGUAUACAUGCUUGAUAGUCUCACACGGCUCGCUAGUUUGCCACGCGGAGCAACAUGUAUUGCGAGGCAUGUGGCUCGACAUUAUGGGCUGCCCUAGCAAAUGUCCUUUCAUGCACCUCGGUCAUGGCGACCAUGUUCACUCGCAGACCCUCUCAGCACACAAGGCGCUUAUCAGAGUCCUUCUCACUUGCGCGCAGUGAGCUGCACGUACACAACGCGCUGGGUGCAUUUCCCAACAUACUUGGGUGCCUGGCAAUGUCUUGCGCGCACAUCAUGAAUGGCAUGACCAUGUUCUACCUUUUUCUAGUACUUUGGUGCCUAUAUAGCAUAGGACAAAGGCUACCGACCUCUUCUUUUGAUCUGUGCUCAUUUUGAUAUGUUUUUUGCAUCUGUUACUCAUUAAACAUCAUCAUUUAAUCAUCAUAAACAACUUACACAAAAAAUUAAACACAGAAAACUCAUUAAAUCAAAAUAAAGUGCAUGGACACACUCACCCUCCACUGUCAAGUUAAAAUCGAAGCCUUUUCAUGAUUUUUGGAAGAUUCUUACCAAUUUAAUGCUUCUAAAAAUCCUAUUACUUGCGUCAAUUAGAUUAUUGAAGUUCUUACCUUCUUGAAGACUCAAUUUUGGGCCUAAAUGCAUGAGAGAAUAUGAGUUUCUAAAUGGGAAAUCAACUACAACUCAAGGAGGUUGUCAUUGCAAAAUAAAGACUAUUUUUGUGCUUAUUUAUGGUUUUUGAAAUAGGAAAUCACCGUAGAAAAUUAUUUACAAGAGUUUUAAGUUAAGGCUUACCUAUUUAAAACUUAAAACCGAAAGAGAGGACUCGGUUACCUAAAAUAGGUUGUGUGAGCAUUCCUGGGCAGAACUGAGCUUUUAUUUAAAGAAGUAUGAGUUUUUAAGCUCUAACUAAAAGAGGAUGAAUGAGUAAGUGAAUUGGAAGUCAAAAACAUAAGAAACUAUAGAAGAGCUAACCUAAUUCGAAAGAGAAGUGUCGUUGCAGAACAACAACCCGACCUGUACAGCCUUUGUCAUUCACUUCCUCUCUCUCUCUCUCUCUCUCUAUCUAGUUCUUACUCUCUCUAGUCAAUAAAAAAUGAAGAAGAAGAGCAAAGAGAUGUAGUUUUAAAUGGAAUUUCAGGGAGAUUCUAGCCUUCGAAUGCAUAUGAUCCAAGUCGUUGAUGGUGGUUGGUGGCCAACCAUUUUGGAUAAGGGAGUUAAUUGGUAGCCACUUUGUGGGAGAAAGAAGGGAACUCGCCUGUCACACAAGAACUCAGUGUUAGUGGCAUCCCAUUAGGAAACAGUGUAGGGAAACUGACUUACAUGCCCAAAGGGAUGUCCAUGGUAGGGAGUGCCCUGCCUGCGAGUUCACUAGUGCUAUGUUCCCCUUGCUCGCAUGGAUAGGCAUGCGUGAGGGAAAUUUUUCACGUGAGGUUGCUUGCUAAUGGGAAGUGGUGCUACAAAACAUAGCUUGUGCAUGUAUGUCUGCAAUUGGGGCACUUUUAUAAGCCUACACGCAGAUGCUGUGCGUUAGGGUUGCCCGCGAGUGGGGGAUUUUCUGUCCAAUUAAUGUGGGUCAAGUAGGGCAAAUUCUAGGU